rnacentral:rRNA from 1 species
UACGUAGGGUGCAAGCGUUGUCCGGAAUUAUUGGGCGUAAAGAGCUCGUAGGCGGUUUGUCGCGUCUGCUGUGAAAACCUAAGGCUCAACCUUGGGCUUGCAGUGGGUACGGGCAGACUAGAGUGCGGUAGGGGUGACUGGAAUUCCUGGUGUAGCGGUGGAAUGCGCAGAUAUCAGGAGGAACACCGAUGGCGAAGGCAGGUCACUGGGCCGCAACUGACGCUGAGGAGCGAAAGCAUGGGGAGCGAACAGG